rnacentral:rRNA from 1 species
CGAUGAAGAACGCAGCGAAAUGCGAUAAGUAAUGUGAAUUGCAGAAUUCCGUGAAUCAUCGAAUCUUUGAACGCACAUUGCGCCCCCUGGCAUUCCGGGGGGCAUGCCUGUCCGAGCGUCAUUUCUGCCCUCAAGCGCGGCUUGUGUGUUGGGCGCGGUCCCCCCGGGGACCUGCCCGAAAGGCAGCGGCGACGUCCGUCGGGUCCUCGAGCGUAUGGGGCUCUGUCACUCGCUCGGGAAGGACCUGCGGGGGUUGGUCACCACGAACGAUUCGGCGAGUGAAGCGGCAAGAGCUCAAAUUUGAAAUCUGGCCCCUUUGGGGUCCGAGUUGUAAUUUGCAGAGGAUGCUUCGGGUGCGGUCCCCGUCUAAGUGCCCUGGAACGGGCCGUCAUAGAGGGUGAGAAUCCCGUCUGGGAUGGGCGGCCGCGCCCGUGUGAAGCUCCUUCGACGAGUCGAGUUGUUUGGGAAUGCAGCUCUAAGUGGGUGGUAAAUUUCAUCUAAAGCUAAAUACUGGCCGGAGACCGAUAGCGCACAAGUAGAGUGAUCGAAAGAUGAAAAGCACUUUGAAAAGAGAGUUAAACAGCACGUGAAAUUGUUGAAAGGGAAGCGUUGUCCACCAGACUCGCCCGGGGGGGCUCAGCCGGCACUCGUGCCGGUGUACUCCUCCCCGGGCGGGCCAGCAUCGGUUUGGGCGGCUGGUGAAAGGCCCCGGGAAUGUAACACCCUCCGGGGUGCCUUAUAGCCCGGGGUGUCAUGCGGCCCGCCUGGACCGAGGCCCGCGCUUCGGCGAGGAUGCUGGCGUAAUGGUGGUCAACGGCC